UGCUCGAAAGCGUGGGGAGCGAACGGGAUUAGAUACCCCUGUAGUCCACGCCCUAAACGUUGUACACUAGGUAUUGGAGGAAUCAUCCCUUUCAGUGCCCAAGCAAACGCGAUAAGUGUACCGCCUGAGGACUACGACCGCAAGGUUAAAACUCAAAGAAAUUGACGGGGGCCCGCACAAGCGGUGGAGCAUGUGGCUUAAUUCGAUGCAACGCGAAGAACCUUACCUGGGUUUGACAUGUAUUGGGAUAUAGCCGAAAGGUUAUAGUAUAGCAAUAUACUGAUACACAGAUGCUGCAUGGCUGUCGUCAGCUCGUGUCGUGAGAUGUUCGGUUAAGUCCGGCAACGAGCGCAACCCUCGCCCUAUGUUACCAGCGGGUAAAGCCGGGGACUCUUAGGGGACAAACUUGAAUUCAAGUGGGAAGGUGGGGAUGACGUCAAGUCAGUAUGGCUCUUACAUCCAGGGCUGCACACGUGCUACAAUGGCCGAUACAGAGGGAAGCCAGACCGCGAGGUUGAGCGAAUCCAUAAAAUCGGUCCCAGUUCGGAUUGGAUGUCUGCAACUCGACUCCAUGAAGCCGGAAUCGCUAGUAAAGGCGUAUCAGCUACGACGCCUUGAAUACGUUCCCGGGCCUUGUACACACCGCCCGUCAAGUCAUGAAAGCCGGUUUUGCCCGAAGUCUGUGAGUUAACUCGCGAGAGAGACAGCGGCCUAAGGCAAGGCUGGUGAUUGGGACUAAGUCGUAACAAGGUAGCCGUAGGGGAACCUGCGGCUG
rnacentral:rRNA from 1 species